GCAGGCUGAUAAAAGAUUGAAAGCGCGAAAGAGUGUGUAAUGGCGUCCCAUAUGGCUGGGUGAUUGCAAUUUUUAAUUAUUACUUAAGCUUAAGAGAGCUUCCCACGAAUUUGGUAGUGCAUCUUUUAACAAAAACGUGUCCUAAACUUGCGGGAGUUUUGUAAUUGUAGACGAAACAAAGAUCCCCUACGACACAUGAGAGGCUAAACAGCAGUCAACAGUGUUUUCAUAAACUACCUCCAAGAUGACAAAACAAGAAUAAAACGCCAUUUUAUAAAGACUAUUUGAUGAGAAUCAGAAAAAGAUGAGUGUAUCUAGUCAAAUAAAGUUCGUCAGCAUUAGAAGAGUUGAAGUAAUUACAUAUCCGUUGUUUCCAUGAGUGCUUUCAGAUCCUGAACAUUUACCAACUUUGCUUAGCGUAUGGUGUUACUCAAUGAAAAGGAGCCCAAAGAAUUGAGGUCUGAGGAUCUGGGAGGCAUUCCAAUAGAUCAAGAGGAAAUUUGGAAAACCUGCCAAUAUUCAGGAAUAAAAAGAUAGGAUUACCACAGAGAAAGAAGCAUUGAGUAGAUAGGGAUGGUGCUAAAUGUAUUGUAAACUUAAAAAUCGCAUGGCUUCUUGAAUUGAAGUAAAUGGACAACAUUUUGAGUAUCUGCUACAAUCGCCUCUACUGUAUGUUUCCUAAAACUCGUAAAUUUUCCACUUCACAAAUGUGGAUCUACUUCUAAUAUGACACAAACAUUUAAAGAUUUGUCUUCAGUUGUUAAAGGUUUUUUGCGCCAUGAUUUAGAUAAAUAUUUUACGGCACCAGUUUCGUUAUACUUUCUACUAACUUACUGACACUAUACCUUUUCACGAGAUUUGUAUUAGCACAUAAAUUAUUGAGGAAUAUUCAAAUUAAACAAGUUUAUUCAAUCGGAGCCGUUUCAGAGAUAAUUGAGGCGUUCCACACAUAAAACUCACUCUGUAUUUAUGAUGUGUGAACAAAAAUACAAAUUUGAUAUCCAAACAACAACAAAAUGCUUUUAUAGAGAAUUUAUUUCUGAUGUUUUGAUUUUCAAGAAUAUAUACAUAAUUAGCUUUGUUUCGGAGACGCAGUCUGGGAAUUGGAGUGAUAAAUUAUCAACUUAUUCAAUAUUCACUACCGAAAUAUGGCCUCAAAUUACUAAAAACUUCUAACGGUUUAAAAUUGCCAUUCUCAGUAGGAGAUCGACUGUACAGUGUUUGAUUUUUCCUCAAUUAGAAUCUUUGUUAUUUAAUAUUCAAAUUUAUGUAAAAUAUAUUUACGCUUCUAAAACAUAAUAUGAUAAAAUCAUACAUUUUAUGCAUAUUUUCUUGAAUCUUUUUAAUAACGAAUAAACAACUAAUAAAAUUUCUAAA